rnacentral:rRNA from 1 species
GACGAACGCUGGCGGCGUGCCUAAUACAUGCGAGUCGAACGAGAGCGCCCGGUGCUUGCACUGGUCAAUCUAGUGGCGAACGGGUGAGUAACACGUGGGUAACCUGCUCAUCAGAGGGGGAUAACAUCCGGAAACGGAUGCUAAAACCGCAUAGGUCUUCGAGCCGCAUGGCUUGAAGAGGAAAAGAGGCGCAAGCUUCUGCUGAUGGAUGGACCCGCGGUGCAUUAGCUAGUUGGUGAGGUAACGGCUCACCAAGGCCGUGAUGCAUAGCCGACCUGAGAGGGUGAUCGGCCACAUUGGGACUGAGACACGGCCCAAACUCCUACGGGAGGCAGCAGUAGGGAAUCUUCCGCAAUGGACGCAAGUCUGACGGAGCAACGCCGCGUGAGUGAAGAAGGUUUUCGGAUCGUAAAACUCUGUUGUUAGAGAAGAACAAGUGCUAGAGUAACUGUUAGCGCCUUGACGGUAUCUAACCAGAAAGCCACGGCUAACUACGUG